rnacentral:lncRNA from 1 species
GUGAAGGACCUGCAGGGAGAACCUGAUCUCUACCAAACAUGAGCUGCUUCGAGUGCCAGCUUAUUAAAAGGGAAACGACAUGAAGUGGAUAGAGAGAGGGGGAGAGAGAGAGAGCUCUCAUUCACAGCCUUUCACUACAGUUGGGUCCUGGCCUAAUGGCAUAUAGUGAUGUGCGCCGGUGGAACCGGCGUCCAGGGCAGGGCCGUAAAGUGGGGGGGCCAAUGGCCCCCUGGCCCCCCCUGUUCCGGAGCCCCUUCAUCUAUUGCAGGUUGACUGGAUGAAGGUUUAAAUCCAGAGGUGAGCUGUGACUGUAGAACACAAGCGCAACAAAAUGGCCGUGCAGGAUUCCACGGUUGCUGUGUUUUUCUUCAGGUGCAUCAUUUCUAUCAGGUCAUCAUUUCAAAACAAACAAAGCCCGAAACUGUGAACACUAGAGAUUUUACCGAUUUCACUCGUCAACUUCUGUAGAUUUUUGUUUUUCUUGAAGACUUUUUCACUCCGGAUGACAACGAACGAGCCACUGAGACUGACAGACACACAACCGACCUCCAACAUGGAACAUUGUGACCUUCCCAUCCACCUGCGAGACCACGACUCCGGCAGCCGCAGGAGAAGCUCUGCCAUCGGGCACACGGUUCCUGGAGCAAGUGUCCAUGCUGCGGGAACGAGCAGGUUGGACAUGUGGAGGAAAACACACCGUUCGUCUCUGAUGGAGAUGUUUCUCUUGUCAGACUGUGAAAGUAUUCUGUUGAUAAGUAACAAGCUGACCAGCUUGACAUCCUCUCGUGUGCUGCUGACCUCCUCCAGGUGAAUUUAACCCCGGGGCCCCAUCAGCACUCCGCUAGUAAGGCCAAACUUCCCCGGAAAGAGGAAGCAGAGCUCUGCGUCCCGUCCUUCUUCACCUUCUGCUCGUGGUCCAGGGGAGAGGAGUUUGGUCCCAGCGCCUCCAUCCACCAUCCCACCUGCUGACCGGCCCGUGGCGUCCAACAACGUGCCCCCCGGCCCACCUGCCAACCAGCUGAGCUCCACUGGUGUGAACCGCUCCGGUCUACUGAAGAUACACAACUGCUCAGUGGAAGAUUACCAGAGAGUCUAAAGGGGGGUGCACACAUAAGGAUUCUAUAAAUCUUAAGAGAUUUUUUAUCUGUAGAGCCCCCACACAUGCUUUGAUCGUACCGUGUGUGGUGUGCUCCGAUAUUCUCAGCACAGGACACCACACACAUAAAGAUUAUCUGUCUCACGGCCGAUCUAGAAUCUAGUCCUCUGAGCCAGAAAUAUCGCGUGAUUAAUUGUGAUCUACAGUAACCAAUGGCCAUGACAUCAUCAACCCAUCAAGAUGGACUCACACGUGGACGUCUGGUACGGGGGUGGAGUCUCUCCUCCCCUCUAUGAUGUAGACACUCUGGGAGAAGCGAGCCCUGGACAGCCUCCACCUAAAAGAGCCAAGAAGCCAAGAACCUAACCCUGACUGACCUGAGAGCAGCAGCUUCACUCUAACACUUUGUAAUAACAGUUCAAUGAGUUCAAAUCCAGCCUGUAAAUAUUAGAGACUUAUACACAACUGGCUUCAUUUACAUCAGUACAUUCAGCCUCCGUCAGUAAUCAAGGCUCCACCUCGAACACCACCUAUGCCGCCUGCCAAGACACAACCUCUGAGAGCCAUCUGGAGUAAGAGGCUCCAUCCUCCACCUACAAGUCUCCUCCAGUCACUUAAAUCUAAACCGUGCCUUCUUACUACAUCAGCCAGCUGCUCUAGCCUCCACCUGCAGCUGCAAACAGACAUACUCCACCCAAAUCAACAGGCAAGAACAUCCACUGCCAGCCCCGCCUGUAAAUUCUUGUAGUCAGCUACAACCUGAUUCAUCCAAUUGCAGCUGCUUCCAACUCCUGCCUCCACCUGCUACCUCUGCCAGUAACCUGCAGUCACCACCUCCACCUGCAGAUACUGGCAGAAAGCUAAGACCUCAACCUCCACCUUCGACCUUUUACAAAACCCUACACUGCUGCCUCCACCUGUAGAUUUUUUGCAAGGAGACAUAUUACAAGCCUCCACCUAAAUCCUCUUCUAGCAACCUGCAGUUUCCUCCACCUAACUACAGCCUCUGCCAGGAACCUGCAGCCACCAGCUCCACCUACAGAUUCUAGCAGACAAUGGCAACAACUCCACCUACAGCCUCUGCCAGCAACAUCCACUGCAACCUCCACCUGUGGAUUCUGACAGAUUGCUGCAACCUAUGUCCUCCAGCUAAAGUCCAAACUGAGUCUUCGUCUAGAAAUCUCCACCUCUGACUCCACCUAAAGUAUCUUCCAUCUUUCUGCCUACAGUCUCUGCCAGUAACCUGUUGUUACCUCCUCCAACAGAUUCUGGAAGACCGAUGACGCCUCAGCCUCCACCUCCACCUCAACCUCCACCAUCAGCUUUAAAAACCUGCUGCCUCCACCUGUCAAUUUGUGUCAACAAGAGCAACACAAGCCUCCACCUUAAUCUCCACCAUCAACCUGCAGACUAGCUCCACCUGAAGACUCUGGUUGAAAAGCUCAGCUAAAACCUCCACCUAAAGUGUCUUCUACCUUCAGCCUACAUCCUCUGCCAGUAACCUGUUGUUUCCUCCACCUACAGAUUCUGGAAGACAAGUAACACCUCUACCUCCACCACCAUCCUCGACUGAUAUACCAAUACUGCUGCCUCCAUCAGUCAGUUGAUCUGUGCUGACAAACACAAGCCUCCACCUAAAGCCUCUGCCAGGAACCUGCAGCUGCCUCCUCCACCUGCAGAUUCUGGUAGACCACUGCAGCCCAAACCUCCACCUAAAGUGUCUUCCAUCUUCUGCUGACAGCUUCUGCCUGUAACCUUUUUCUGCCUCCACCCACAGAUUUUGGAAGACCACUGAAGCCUCCACCUCCAACAUCCAUCCUCAGCUGAAAAACAACCACAAUGCCUUCAUCAGAUUUGCGCAGACAGACACAAGCCACCACCUAAAGUCUCUGCCAGCAACAUGCAGUGGCGAACUCCACCUGCAGAGGCUGUGACCUAAACUCCACCUUUAGCCUCUGCCAGUAACCUCAAAUCAUCAAAACACUGAGGUAAGCCACACAUCGUUAUUUCUUAAGAGGGCCAAUAAAAUAUCAGCCGACAUCAUUCUCUUCUCAAUGAAUUAUUUUAAAAUAGUCCAGCCGAAGACGCUGAUGUUUCAUGUGUCAUUAUAACAAAGCUUGUCGAUGUGAAAGUAGUCGUAUGUAUCCUCAUACAGGCCCCACAGGAUAUGUAGCCCCAGUUACACCUUUACACCUAAAGGUGCCUUAAUGUCUGUUUGUUGACAAGGGUUUUCACAUUUGUAUGAUCAUUUGAAAUUAUUGUGAUAAUGACACUGAAAUGAUAAUGAGUAAUGAUACUUUAGGCAACAUACUGGUUUAGAU